UACGUAGGGCGCAAGCGUUGUCCGGAAUUAUUGGGCGUAAAGAGCUCGUAGGCGGUUUGUCGCGUCUGCUGUGAAAACCUAAGGCUCAACCUUGGGCUUGCAGUGGGUACGGGCAGACUAGAGUGCGGUAGGGGGUGACUGGAAUUCCUGGUGUAGCGGUGGAAUGCGCAGAUAUCAGGAGGAACACCGAUGGCGAAGGCAGGUCUCUGGGCAUUAACUGACGCUGGAGGAGCGAAAAGCAUGGGGAGCGAACAGG
rnacentral:rRNA from 1 species